GUGUGUGUGUGUGUGUGUACAGGAGUCUAGUGUGUGUUUGAAGGACCCAGAAUGUGUAUGAGAUCUAGUGAGUGUGUGUAUAUAACAGAAUCAGAGUGUAUAUGGGGAUUUAGUGUGUGUAUAUGAUCCAUAGUUGGGUAAGGGAUAGUGUGUCUGGAAUGUAAUAUGUUUAGGGGUGCAGUAUGUGUGUGUGAGGGGUUCAGUGUGUG